rnacentral:rRNA from 1 species
CACGUAGUUAGCCGUGACUUUCUAAGUAAUUACCGUCAAAUAAAGGCCAGUUACUACCUCUAUCUUUCUUCACUACCGACAGAGCUUUACGAGCCGAAACCCUUCUUCACUCACGCGGCGUUGCUCCAUCAGACUUUCGUCCAUUGUGGAAGAUUCCCUACUGCUGCCUCCCGUAGGAGUUUGGGCCGUGUCUCAGUCCCAAUGUGGCCGAUCAGUCUCUCAACUCGGCUAUGCAUCAUUGCCUUGGUAAGCCGUUACCUUACCAACUAGCUAAUGCACCGCAGGUCCAUCCAAGAGUGAUAGCAGAACCAUCUUUCAAACUCUAGACAUGCGUCUAGUGUUGUUAUCCGGUAUUAGCAUCUGUUUCCAGGUGUUAUCCCAGUCUCUUGGGCAGGUUACCCACGUGUUACUCACCCGUCCGCCGCUCGCUUGUAUCUAGUUUCAUUUAGUGCAAGCACUAAAAUCAUCUAGGCAAGCUCGCUCGACUUGCA